GGGCCGUUAGUAUAGUGGUAGUACGGUGCAUUCGCAUUGCACAGACGGGAGUCCGAUUCUCCCACGGUCCACCU
rnacentral:tRNA from 1 species